AUUGAACGCUGGCGGAAUGCUUUACACAUGCAAGUCGAACGGCAGCACGGACUUCGGUCUGGUGGCGAGUGGCGAACGGGUGAGUAAUGUAUCGGAACGUGCCCAGUCGUGGGGGAUAACGUAGUGAAAAUUACGCUAAUACCGCAUACGAUCUAUGGAUGAAAGCGGGGGAUCGCAAGACCUCGCGCGAUUGGAGCGGCCGAUAUCAGAUUAGGUAGUUGGUGGGGUAAAGGCCCACCAAGCAAACGAUCUGUAGCUGGUCUGAGAGGACGAACAGCCACACUGGAACUGAGACACGGUCCAGACUCCUACGGGAGGCAGCAGUGGGGAAUUUUGGACAAUGGGCGAGAGCCUGAUCCAGCCAUUCCGCGUGCAGGAUGAAGGCCCUCGGGUUGUAAACUGCUUUUGUACAGAACGAAAAGGUUUCUACUAAUACUAGGAGCUCAUGACGGUACUGUAAGAAUAAGCACCGGCUAACUACGUGCCAGCAGCCGCGGUAA
rnacentral:rRNA from 1 species